rnacentral:rRNA from 1 species
GCGGAGAACAUUUUAUUAGUACACACACAACCAACCAAACAAGUCAAAACACACAAACUCAAAACUUUCAACAACGGAUCUCUUGGUUCUCGCAUCGAUGAAGAACGCAGCGAAAUGCGAUACGUAGUAUGACUUGCAGUUUUCGUGAAUCAUUGAAUCUUUGAACGCACAUUGCGCCCCGUGGUAUUCCGCGGGGCAUGCCGAGCUGAGCGUCGUUUUUCUCUCACGCAAGUGGUGAUGGGCCGCACGUUGGUGCGCCCGAAAGACAAGGAGCCGAUGUUCUACAAGUCGUCGGUGAACAACUCUUUGAAUUCGACCUCAGCCUGGUAGGAGUACCCGCUGAACUUAAGCAUAUCAAUAAGGCGGAGGAA